rnacentral:sRNA from 1 species
AUCGACUCUAUUUAUAAUUCUGUCUCUGACAGACGUUAAGGCGCUAGUAUGUACAGAGUAUGGUAUAUAAAUAUAACAAUAAACUUACCUUUUUUUAAAAAAUUUUCACUUUGUAUAGUCUUCACUCUCUACUGGGUUAUUACUGUCAAGGUAUUCCAACAGGAUACAUUCAAAUCUAUAGUUUGUAGUCAGGCUGGACAUCUAUAGAGAUAUGAAUGCAGAAUUACUUCGAUCCACAGAGUUGCUGUCCCUGCAGCUCCUGAGGCUACUAGUCCUGAGCGCAAUGGCUGUGUGCGUGGCCUACGUUUUCGUCAUGGUCUUCUAUUUGCACUACCAGACGGCGCUGCGGUCAGCUAAACCAAUAGAGGUGGACAAUGUGUGGACAGUGUUCUAGAAGUCCUCAUCACUUGGCGGCGCUGGGAGGGUGGUGUCAUCAAAUUUGUAAUAAGAAACCAACCAAAAAAAAGUGUGUGGGGGGGGGGGAGGGAGGGCAAACAGCGAAAGUAAAAAGCAACAAACAACAAACAAUAAACAACAAACAACAAGAGCAGCGGAAAUAGGAAUAUCAAAAAUAAUAUAUGAAAACAAUGAAGAAGAAACACAUUGGAUUUUGUCUGUCAUGUGCCAGAUAUUGUGUUGAUUGUUCUUCGACUGUUUCUAAUAGUUCUACGUGAACUAAAAUAUCACUAAAGUCAUUCUAACUAGCUUUUAAAAAUAUACACAAAAGAACGUAAAUCUACUUCCUUAAAGUGAUUCUACACUGACUUCUUGGAUCAACUGUAAAUGUGUGACAUUUAACCACAACUAACAACAGACCGUUGCUGAUUGGAUAGGAAGUGUAUCAGCUUGUUUUCUGGCUAUUGUGAUGAGGUGUCUAAACUGUGACUAUUCCGAAACAUAAUAGGAACCAGUUUUGUUGAAAUAAUUGUACAGAAUGUUAACUGCUUUGUUUGUUUUCGUUUUUGUUCAUCACAAAGUUUGACAUGACCUUGAUUUGUUACAUAUAUUGUUUAAAUACAUUAUGUAUUUUAUCAUCUCUGAAUACUUGUUCCAAUAUAAAUGAACUCAGAAAAUCAAAUAAAUAUCUUAGGAAGUAAUCGUUUAAUUUAGACUGUGACAUUUAUAUGUGUAUUUAUGUUUAUGUAUGCUGUGUGUGUGUGUUUUUUUUUGUAGUCUCCCCUGUUCUACUGUUCAGUAUGUUCACGUGUUUUAGGUUUUUCUCAACAAUAUUAUUAGUGUAUUCAAGUCUCCUGUUAGGGCGCUAGUAUGUACAGAGUAUGGUAUAUAAAUAUAACAUAAACUUACCUUUUUUUUUUACAUGUUCACUUUGUAUAGUCUUCACUCUCUACUCAAUAAAAUGGAGUGUAACUUUUAAA